rnacentral:rRNA from 1 species
AGUCUGGUGCCAGCAGCCGCGGUAAUUCCAGCUCCAAUAGUGUAUAUUAAAGUUGCUGCAGUUAAAAGCUCGUAGUUGGAUUUCGGAUUAAUGGGAGUUAAGGUCCAUCAAUUUGAUGUGUACCUUAUUCUCGUUUCCUUCCUUCUGAAUACACUCCCUGAAAUUUUUUUUGGGGAUCAAAGUGUUUCAAAUCUUUUACUGUGAAGAAAUUAGAGUGUUCAAAGCAGGCGUAAUCUAGCCUUUGAAUAUAUUAGCAUGGGAUAAUGAAAUAGGACUUUAGUUCUACUUUCGUUGGUUUCUAGGGCUAAAGUAAUGAUUAAUAGGGAUAGUUGGGGUCACUAGUAUUUAAUUGUCAGAGGUGAAAUUCUAAGAUUUAUUAAAGACUAACUACUGCGAAAGCAUUUGACAAGGAUGUUUUCAUUAAUCAAGAACGAAAGUUGGGGGAUCGAAGAUGAUCAGAUACCGUCGUAGUCUCAACCAUAAACUAUGCCGACCAAGGAUCCGGGGGUGUUAAAUAUGGAUGACUCUCCGGGCACUUAUAGAGAAAUCAUAAGUAUUUGGGCUCCGGGGGGAGUAUGGUCGCAAGGCUGAAACUUAAAGGAAUUGACGGAAGGGCACCACAAGGAGUGGAACCUGCGGUUUAAUUUGACCCAACACGGGGAAACUUACCAGGUCCAGACACAGUGAGGAUUGACAGAUUGAGAGUUCUUUCUUGAUUCUGUGAGUGGUGGUGCAUGGCCGUUUCUAGUUGGUGGAGUGAUUUGUCUGGUUAAUUCCGUUAACGAACGAGACCUUAACCUAUUAAAUAGUUGCUUGAACACAUGAAUAUUUUAUUCUUUGUUCGGUUAACUUCUUAGAGGGACUCUUCACUGAGAGAGUGAAUGGAAGUUUGAGGCAAAAACAGGUCUGUGAUGCCCUUAGAUGUUCUGGGCCACACGCGCGUUACACUGACAUAUUCAACGAGCAUUUUCCUGGCCCGAUGGAGUUGGGUAAUCUUUUAAAUGUAUGUCGUGCUGGGGAUAGAUCAUUGUAAUUAUUGGUCUUGAACGAGGAAUUCCUAGUAAGUGCAAGUCAUCAACUUGCGCUGAUUACGUCCCUGCCCUUUGUACACACCGCCCGUCGCUCCUACCGAUUGAAUGGUCCGGCGAGAACUCAAGAUGGAAAUAGGUUUUGGACACCGUCA